UUAAAUAAUAUAACGGAAAAGUCGUAACUAAUUUCAAGUUCGGCUAUCAACACCAUUAUUAUCCACUAGAAUGUGUGUGGUAUUUUCAAUUAUCAGGGCAAAGUUUCGUGAAAGUUAUAAGGCGAUGCGCCUUACGGGUCUUGUGUGAAGUCCCUAUGGAUUUUAAAUUAAUACGACUUGCUUAACGAGAUGGUUGAACCCGAUAUAUGGUACAAUAGGGCCAGUGGUCCGCAUUGCUGACAAUCCGUUCCCAAACAAUCAUGAGGCCUUGUCAGCUGUCGAAUAUAGUGAACGCUACAUUUGAUAUGCCCACAGUCAGCUGAGUAUAUUGGAAUCCAACAUGACAGUGGGCGCCCCUACUAUAGUGGUUACGAAUGAAAAGAACUGAAGAGCGCUUAUAACGCGAAAUUUUUUAUAGGUAUAGCAGACAUUUCCACUCUUAGGGCGAGCAUCCUCUUAAUACAUAAUCCUGGGAUCAUUG